ensembl:miRNA
GGUCCAGUGGUUCUAGACAGUUCAACAGUAGUGAGCCCACAUUUGUGAAAUGUUUAGGACCACUUGAUCCGG